rnacentral:lncRNA from 1 species
AAAGCCAAAGCUCCUGCCAAAGAAAUGUGUGGAGCAGAAAAGAAAACCCAGAGCAGAAUGUCAAGAGCAAGGAUGUGUUGGGACAGGAAAUGAAGACGAGAUUGGGAGAGGUCAUGCAGAAUCAGGUCACAUUCUGGAGGGAAGAAGGAGCAAAGGCACAUGAUGAGAGAGUGCUAAUUAAGGUGGCCAAAGAGAACAGUGUGGUGCUGUAAAUGCCGGCAGAGCAAGGAGCCCUGCUGCCAGCCUGACCCAACACAGUCACGUUGAUGAAAAUGGAAAAGGAUGGCUGGAGGCCUUCAGUUGCAAAGUUCUCCAUUGUCAGAUUACGCUGCCUGAUGGGCAUGAAAAGUCCACAAAAGAGAAUUUUCUGAUGUGAGAAUGGAGGGUGUUGCCUGCAACUACCCCAGAUCCCUGCGGUGGCAGUUUAAGCCGCCUCCUGGAGCAGAUUGUUAAGCUGAUGCGAGUCUGGGCUCUGCCUCACCACUUGUCUCAGAGACAGAGUCUUGCUCUGUCACCUAGGCUGGAGUGCAGUGGUGCCAUCACAGCUCACUGCAGCCUCGACCUCCCCGUGCUCAAGUGAUCCUCACACCUCAGCCUCCCGAGUAGCCGCGAUCACAAGAAAGACCUGAUGUCAUAUGGAAGCCAAGAAGAAACUCUUGUCCAAUUUGUAGGGAAAGCAGAGAGACAGAGAGACAGAGAGAGCUUCAGCUUGGUUUCAAAACAAGGAUGGAAAUACAGAACAACUUAAGUUACCAGCACACUUCAUAACAAUUAAAAAUCAUCUCGCUUCUUCCUUCUGCCAGCAUAAUUUUGGGCUCACAGGUGGAUUGACCUGACCUCCAAGAAAUGUGUGACAAGGACUCGCCCCUUACCUCCUCAGUUACAGCACGUUUGGUGUUUAUGUGAAGCUGGUGGCUUUCAGUAUCAUGGUGAAAAUUUUCUUUUAGGUCAUAAUUGCUUAACUACAAUGAAAAGUAUUGAUUUUGGAAAAGGCUCAUCUUCCCAAAGAGGUUCACUUCAGGAGGUGAAUUAAUGUGCUCCAGGG